GGUGACUUAGUGGUUAUAGCGUCCGCCUCGGAUGCGGGAGGUUGUGGGUUCGAUCACCGGUCCAGUCA